CUUUGCUGUUGCCUUGUACUGGAUUUCAUCUGGAUGCAAAUUCAAAAGGAGCACAAGGGAAAGAGGUCAUCUUCCCCAAUGUGACUACCGUAGUUUUCCUCCUGGAUAGAAUCUCCCCACAGUGAGGAAGACCCCUGACUUCACAGGCCAUUGGAAUUUAAUUCAUCUACUGGGUUCUCCUUGCCAAGGAAUUUCUGGGAAUUUUUCAGUCAUGCUCACAUGUUGUACCACUCUCUCCUGGACGUCACUUGUCACCUCUACCAGUCCUCCUUUCUCCAGAUGGUUUCUUCAUAACCAC
rnacentral:lncRNA from 1 species